rnacentral:rRNA from 1 species
GGUUCAUUCAAAUUUCUUCCCUAUCAACUUUCGAUGUUUGGGUAGUGGCCAAACAUGGUUGCAACGGGUAACGGGGAAUAAGGGUUCGAUUCCGGAGAGGGAGCCUGAGAAACGGCUACCACAUCCAAGGAAGGCAGCAGGCGCGCAAAUUGCCCAAUCCCGACCGGGGAGGUAGUGACAAUAAAUAACAAUAUAGGGCUCUUUUGGGUCUUAUAAUUGGAAUGAGUACAAUUUAAAUCCCUUAACGAGGAACAAUUGGAGGGCAAGUCUGGUGCCAGCAGCCGCGGUAAUUCCAGCUCCAAUAGCGUAUAUUAAAGUUGUUGCAGUUAAAAAGCUCGUAGUUG